AGCCAAUCAGUUUUGUUGUGACAAGGUAGGGGUGGUAUACAGAAGAUAGCCCUAUUUGGUAAAAGAAGUAAGCAAAGAGAAACGACAGUCCAUCCUUACUUUAAGACCUGAGGAUCAGUCAAUCUGGAAAAUUUCAAGAACUUUGAAAGUUUCUUCAAGUGCAGUCACAAAAACCAUCAAGCACUAUGAUGAAGCUGGCUCUCAUGAGGACUGCCACAGGAAAGGAAGACCCAGAGUUACCUCUGCUGCAGAGGAUGAGUUCAUUAGAGUUAACUGCACCUCAGAUUGCAGCCCAAAUAAAUGCAUCACAGAGUUCAAGUAACAGACACAUCUCAACAUCAACUGUUCAGAGGAGACUGCGUAAAUCAGGCCUUCAUGGUCAAAUUGCUGCAAAGAAAACACUACUAAAGGACACCAAUAUGAAGAAGAGACUUGCACCGGCCAAGAAACACGAGCAAUGUACAUUAGACCAGUGAAAAUCUGUCCUUUGGUCUUUUUGGUUCCAACCACUAUAUCUUUGUGAGAUGCAGAGUAGGUGAGUGGAUGAUCUCCGCAUGUGUGGUUCCCACCGUGAAGCAUGGAGGAGGACAAUGACCCAAAACACACCUCCAGGCUGCUCUGUCUGUACACGUUGCUAACGUGUGUGGGAGGUCUAUGGCAGAGUGGGAUGGUAGACCCAAACUCUCACUGCGACGGUUCUUCUCCUUCGUUGGGCUGCACAGUGUGGGCAGGCUGGUGAAGGGAGGGUGCUCCAGCAGCAUGGAACAGCUCAGUAUCUCAGCGCCUCUGGCCAGCUCCGCCCCACCCACAGGCUUCACCCCAACGCCUGCCAGCAGACGACCCCCUCACGACAGGCACUGUGCACAGUAAGCACCAGUCCUUCAAUUCAGGUGUCCCCACUGGCCCAGCUUCGUAAGCCUCCUCUGUGCAGAGUCUGGAGAGGAGAGUGGAGCGUUCAACCAUUCUGGGAGAGGUGCCCGUGCCUUAAAGCCUGGCACCCAGGUGUGUAUGUGGAGCAGGUAGGGGACGGUUCCUGGGCGCUGAGGGGGAUGAGAUCCUGGAGGUGAAUGGGGAGGCGGUGGCUGGACUGACCCUGGAUCAGGUGUCAGGUCUCAUGACACGCAACAGCACCGCCUCUAUCCAUAUAUCCUGCCACUCGUCGGAACCAGCGAUGAGCAAUGCAAUACUGGAAUAUUCCAUUAUCCAUUUCAAUAAAUUAAAAAACACUGGACACUGCCCUGUGAUGAUGUCAUGACAAAAACACGAGAAUGGAAAUAAGCAAGCAUAAUGAGAGAUUUUUUUUAACUCUGGGAGAACCAAAGGAAGGACAUAAUCAACCUAAUUAUAUUUGUCCAUUAUUAGGCCUAGUCUUUGAAGAUUCCCUCAAAUGUAACUACCGGUCAAUCAAAACUGAUGACAAAUAAAACAGAGAAA
ensembl:lncRNA